rnacentral:ncRNA from 1 species
CCCGCUGAACUUAAGCAUAUCACUAAGCGGAGGAAAAGAAACUAACAAGGAUUCCCCUAGUAACUGCGAGUGAACAGGGAUUAGCCCAACACCGAAGCCUGUGGUUAUUUGAUCGUAAGGCAAUGUGGUGCUUAGGGUGGCUUCAGGCAUUACUGCUCUGUCCCAAGUCCAGCAAUGAGUACGGCUUCCCAUUCUGGCCCAAAGAGGGUGAAAGGCCUGUGGGGGCAGAGAUCAAGUGUGACAGUUUUGCUCUGAGCUACCCAUGGAGUCGGGUUGUUUGUGAAUGCAGCUUAAAGUGGGUGGUAAACUCCAUCCAAGGCUAAAUACUUACACGAGUCCGAUAGCAAACAAGUACCGUGAGGGAAAGUUGAAAAGUACUUUGAAGAGAGAGUAAACAGUGCGUGAAACCGUUCAAAGGUAAACGGGUGGAGUUGAACUGCAAGCUCUGGGAAUUCAGCUGAUGAGUGUGAUUUGUACUUGGGCAUACUGGCCGCCUUCAGUGUCUGUUUAACCGUAGGUGCCUUCCUUUUUGGUGGGUAUGUGUGAAUCGUUUGCUUACGACGCGCGCACUGUUGGUGUGAGGGUCUGCUUGUCAGUGCACUUUCUCAGGGUGUUCACCACGACCGGCACUGCUGCCUGUCUACUAUGGUCAAACUGAUCAGGUCUGAUUUCUGUCAGUCUUGGUUGGGUCGGUAGGUGGCUCUUUGGCUCAUUUAUGGGCCGUGAGUGUUACUAACUGGCUGUAGUGGAUCUGUGCGGUGUGUCGGAGAUGGCGGCUUCGUAUGCGUGCUUAGACCUUCGGGCAUUGCUGAGUCUGGUCGGUUUGUUACUAGCUUCGGAUGGUAGGCUGAUGGCUUGGUUUUGUCACGUCGGCGGUUGCGUGUGUGGUUUGCAUUGGGCCAAUAGUCUGUGGUGUAGUGGUGGACGAUCCACCUGACCCGUCUUGAAACACGGACCAAGGAGUUUAACAUGUGCGCGAGUCAUUGGGUGUUACGAAACCCAAAGGCGAAGUGAAGGUAAAGGUUCGGCUUGUCCGGACUAAGGUGAGAUCCUGUUGUCUUGCUCAUACUUUCCAAGUUGCGAGCAGCGGGCGCAUCACCGGCCCGUCCCAUGACGUAGACAUGUGACCUGGUGUUGUGUGCACCGUCGGGGCGGAGCAAGAGCGUACACGUUGAGACCCGAAAGAUGGUGAACUAUGCUUGUGAAGGUUGAAGCCAGAGGAAACUCUGGUGGAGGACCGUAGCGAUUCUGACGUGCAAAUCGAUCGUAUAAAGUGAGUAUAGGGGCGAAAGACUAAUCGAACUAUCUAGUAGCUGGUUCCCUCCGAAGUUUCCCUCAGGAUAGCUGGCAUUCUGAGAAAUAAACAGUUUUAUCCGGUAAAGCGAAUGAUUAGGGGCAUUGGGGAGAAAUCAUCCUCAACCUAUUCUCAAACUUUAAAUGGGUGAGAAGCUUAACUCGCUUGAUUGAAGUUUUGCAUUGAAUGUGAGUGCCAAGUGGGCCAUUUUUGGUAAGCAGAACUGGCGCUGUGGGAUGAACCAAACGUUCGGUUAAGGUGCCUAACACGACGCUCAUUAGAUACCACAAAAGGUGCUGGUUGGUCUAGACAGCAGGACGGUGGCCAUGGAAGUCGGAAGCCGCUAAGGAGUGUGUAACAACUCACCUGCCGAAUCAACCAGCCCUGAAAAUGGAUGGCGCUCGAGCAUUGGACCCAUACCGGACCGUUGCUGUAAUUAGUGUGACGAGGCAUUUGGCUAAUAACAUUUAUUUUUAAGUAUCAAAUUGUACAGACCCAAAUGGGCUUGGCACAAAAUUACAUACUUAAGAUUUUUAAAAAGAGAGGUAUUCGGUUAAACAGAGUUAUAAGUUUAAUAUU